rnacentral:misc_RNA from 1 species
GGGGCUAGUUUGUUGGAAGAACCACCAAAAUCCUUUUUUCUCUCUUAUCCUUCCGCACGGGAUCCGCACGUUCCUGGGUCCAUUUCUUUUCUUCGAUACGCAGAGAAGGACCGGCGCCGCCGUCCUCGAACCGAAGAAACGCCGCCGUCCUCGAGCAGGUCAGCCGUCGCCUCCCUCCGUUCCCUCAGCCUCCUCCUCCCUCUUUUCUUGAUCCAUGGAAAGGUAGUGGAGGGGCACGGCUGGCCACAUUGGAAAGAACAGGAAAACAACGGAUUUGUUUUGGCUAAUUUCUUAUUGAAUGCAUUUUCGACUAUUAUAAUUUACUAAUUUA